GCGUGUGUGAAGAAGGCCUGCGGGUUGUAAAGCACUUUCGAUAGGGAAGAUUAUGACGGUACCUAUAGAAGAAGCACCGGCUAACUCCGUGCCAGCAGCCGCGGUAAUACGGAGGGUGCAAGCGUUAAUCGGAAUUACUGGGCGUAAAGCGCGCGUAGGCGGCUUAGUAAGUCGGAUGUGAAAGCCCCGGGCUUAACCUGGGAACUGCAUUCGAUACUGCUGGGCUAGAGUAUGGAAGAGGGAAGUGGAAUUCCGGGUGUAGCGGUGAAAUGCGU
rnacentral:rRNA from 1 species